UACAGACAGGGAAAGAAAGAGGGGAGAGAAAGGAGAAAUUAGAGGAGAGAGAAGGAGAGAAAGGAGCGGGGAGAGAUACAAAGGAGAGAGGGAGAGAGGAGCGGGGGAAAGAAAGCGGGUAGAGAGAGAGGGAAAUAGAGAGCAGGGAGAAAGGGAGAGAAGGAGAUAGACUGGGGAGAGACCCAGAGGAGAGAUGAGAGAAAGGGGAUUAGGAGAGGGAGGAGGAGAGGGAAAGGAAAGAAAGAAGGGGGAAAAACCGGGAGAAAAAGGGAAAGAGAAGGGAUAGGGGAAAGAGGAGAGAAAGAGCCGGGGGGAGAGGGGAGGGAGAGAGAAAAAGUGAGGAAGGAAAGAGACACAGGAGAGAGGAGAGGGAAAGAAGGAAAGAAACGGGGAAGAGAAGGAGGAAGAGUGGGGGGAGGGAGAAGGAGAAAAAUGAUGAGUAGGGGAGUGAGAAGGUGAAAAAAAGGAGAGUGAGAGAGGGCAGGUGAACACCAGGCCAGGGAAUGGGGGGCAACACGAAGACAGCAGAGAGGGGCCAGGGGAGCACCCAGGUCGCAGCCUUUAAUUGCCGCCCCUCCCCACCUUGGGCCAGGGCAGAGGAGGGCGGCAGCAGGAAGCUGUGCAGAGCCCAGCAGGAGGAACCUGGAUGCCCCCAGGCACUGGGGCAGCGGCUAUCCCCACCUGGAACACACUUCUUCAUCUCCGCCUGUUGGCGUCCCAAGGGUCCGGGACAGUGAAAUGGAUGGAGGGGGAAUGUGAAGGCUCUGUAAUUUGGCACCUGAGGUGGAUAAUGGUUGUUUGAAGCUGUGGGAUGGACGGGUCUGGGUGAGGAGCACAGUGAGGAAUCAGACUAUGGAACAAACAUCUUCCUAAUUUUAUCAAGGGCUCAUCUUAGUGAUUUUCGUCUCCAUCCCAUUUGAUAAUACCUCUUCCCCCAUGAUAACCCUUUGGUCCCUGAUCAACUGGCGAAGACACUAUCACUUCCAAUGAGGCCAUAUAGAGCCUUACUUCAGGCCACUUAUACUUCCACUCAACGUGGACAACCAGAUGUCUCACCUGCUUGUAGUGCUUCUCUUCAUUGCUCUUAGAGGAUCACCCCCAAGAGGGGAUACAGUGCAGCAGAAGUUCACUUUCAGUUUCUGCUCACAUAUCAAACAAACCCAUCCAUGCCCAUGAUGAAUCUCUUUCUCCUGUGUCAGGUAGUUGUUGUCCAGAGCCGCCGUGUAAGAAGUACCUUUCACCUUCCACCAUGAUUGUGAGGCCUCCCCAGCCACGUGGAAAUGGCAGGUGCAGAGGAUCCAGCAUGUUAUUCUGAAACCCCAGAAGACGCUGCAGCUACCAAAUAGAAGGAGCCUGGAUCCCUGAAUGUCUUCAUGGAACAGAACAUUCUCCUCACUCCAGUCUGUUUGAACCAGAAUAUGACCUGAGCAAGAAAUAAGCCUUAAUUAUAUUUGACCAUAGAAUUCUGGUGAUAUUUCUAUGGCUGUAAGUCCAUGUUGAUUAAUACAAAGGGAUGCUGUAAAGCCUCUUCUAUUAAAAAAAGUUGCCCAAGGAGUGAAAGGAGAGAUAUUUUCUGUAAUUAAGAUUUUCAUAAUACAUAGAACAGGCUAUAGCACCUGGCAAUCAAUCAUAUGGGGUACAACAGAAAGAGGAAACAUUCCUGCUAUUAAAUUAACCAAACUGGAGUUCUUGUUAUAUAAUAUAGUAAAAUUUCCUCAAUCUUUCAGCCACCUUUAGUUCUGUAAUCUAUUAUUUCUGGGUAAAAGCAUACCAUUUGAUACACAAUCCAAACCCAAUUCUUAAUUAAUAACGUGUAUCCACUGUAUCUUACCACAUCCCAAAUCAUCUAAUACUUAACCACCUAGUUUCUAUGUUCCACUUACAUCAAACAUAUUCAUGUUUGGAAAAUUGAGCCAGCAUCUACUGCCUUAUCAGCUGAUGCAUAACAAUUUACUUUGUCUGUGCUCUAUAAUAAUGCAAGUCUGCUUGGAAAGAUAACACGUUAAAGGGUUAUCAGACCCUAACACCUUCGUAUAGAUGAAUUUAUCAGAUCCUCUGCUAAACCACUUUCGAAUCCUUGGCCAGUUCUCUACAUUUCAUGAAGAGUUAGCAUAGCCAGUCCAGGAGAUAUUAUCUUCAGGAUGUGGUCAGUUGUGGAAAGGAAGAUAGCUCUGAGGAUCUCUUUCCAGGGAAAAGAAAGACAUGAGGAUUGCUCCAAAGAUCCUCUUUCUGGGGGAAAACGCACAUACUACAG
rnacentral:lncRNA from 1 species